UUAGCCCAUACGUGCUGCCACAGUCAACUGCUCCACCCAUUGGGAAUCUAAAUGAGCCUCUCGGUAACCUGAACAAGGUAGCCCUGGUGCACUGCUGCGGCCAAUUGCUUCAUCUGUUGGGAGCUGAGCAAACAGCUCAGGGAGCAUGAGACUCCGGACUAGCUCACCAAAUAUUGUAACCAAACUCAGGUUCGGGACACUUGACACCUGAACAACCAAUGCUCAAGAGACAAGUGUUGGUAAGAAGGAAAGUUAGCUUUAUUAGGGAAGCAGGCAAGUUGGGAAAUUAGUGACCUUGUUUCAAGACUACCUCUCUGAAUUGUAGCUCUGGACCAAGAGUUUUUACGGGAAAUCAGGAUAAGUGUAAGUCAUAAUCAGAGUGUCCUUGUGGAGGAGCUACGUGUGCAAUCUCAGGCAGGCAGUCAGUCCUUGCUGUCUUGGUCUAUGUCUUGGGACCUUUGCUGGCAUUGUUAGGCUGUUUUUAUCUAGUUGUGGCUAAAACUGCUGGUCAGUCUGUUGCCGGAAUUUCUGGGAUUCAAAAUGGAGUCAGUGCUGUUACAAUAAGAUCUUCUACUCAAUAAAGAAGCAAAAGUACUCACAGCAGAGUGGGAUUGCUGUGAGAAGGAGCCAUGUAACAACUGGCUGGCAGUGGAUAGAGGAAGAAAAAACAUCAUCAAGUUGUUGUGAUAGGAGUGGAUGAAUAGUGACCAACAUGACACCUGGAAAUCAGUAUCUAUGGAAUCCUGUAGAAGAUACCUGAAAUAUGCUUACAUUCACAAACCAGUACAACCUAAACUUGCUGGUCAGUAUCAUGUGGUCAAAGGAUCUGUCACUGGCAAUAUGCGGUACAUGAUCAAAGUUUACUUCUGCUGCAAAGAAUUGAAGAACGGUACUGUAAUUUUAAUUGAUGUAUGGCAUGUAAAACAUUGCUUUGCUUUCUGCUACAUGUGUGUUAUAACCAAAAGGUUAUAAUUUUAUUGUCAAAAUUAAAUGUAAUUCAGACUUAUGUACAGCAUGAACCAUAGAAUGAGUGAAUAUUUCUGGAAGCUUAUUUAAAGCCUCUAAUUAAUGUAAUACUUAUGAAGAGUUACUGGCUAGAAAAAGACAUUUGGCUUUUAAAAUACCACAUGCCCUAUUAUAAUCUUACAAAUAUUCAAAUGCCUAUGAAUAAAAACAAAAAAAAUUGAGCUAGAAAUACACAAUUAAAAGGCCUUAGAAGGAACACAGUUAUUAAUAAAAAUAUUACAGCAAUAACUCCUGAACCCCAUUUUAUGUUUCAAGUCCAGAUGGUCAUUGAGGUGUGAAGUAUCUUUUUUUGAAUAAAAUUUUGAGGAAAUUUUAAGACACAUUAAAAACACAACCAAGACAUAUGUGUCAAAGAGAUACUGACAGAGCUUAGAAAGUGUCUCCAGAAGAAAAGAGUUAUCCAGAGACCUAUAAUCCAUUCCGAUCAAAUCUCCUGAAAGAUAUGCUAGUAAAAGAGAUUUAAUAAAUAUACUAUUUACUAAUAGAAUGUAGAUUAUUUGACUAGAAGUUCUUAUGACAAACUUGUAAUCCAUAGAUUUUGGAGACAAGGGAAUAUAGCUUCCUGUAACAUGUCAUGAAAGCUUUGGUAUGUAAAAUAAGCUUUUUUCUUGAUGAAAAUGGCUUUCUUUUAUGUAAACAAUAAUAACAUCUAGCACUUAGGAAACUCAUAUAUCAUAUACAGCUGGACAUCACUGUUUCCUAAUGAGGCUGGAAGGAAAAUAGGAAAAAAUAUCUGUAGCUCUAGACUUGCCAUUUCACCUGUGCUUCACAACUACUUCUACUUUGAAAGUAAUAUUAAAGUUUGAUAUUGGGUAAGAUCUGAGAUUCCUGUAUCUGACUUGAUGAUAUGAUAUUUUCUGUUAUCUCAAUAUACAUACAUCUCAAUGUAUAAUUUUUUGAAAGGCAUACACGUUACCUGAAUGAUACAAGUUUCCAUUGGAGUUUUGUUUCAUUGUGUUUUGUUUUUUAUCAAGGGAAAAUAAAGAGGGAGAAAUAAACUGUCAUUACUCAAGGAGAGCAUGCACAAUACAACUUUCCAGCUCUAAUUCCAAAGUUUGAUUUCUCUUAUUUGAAGCUCGUGAUAUUUUGUUUGCUCAAAAAUGGGAAGGAUGGGGUGGUUAACAGACUUCUUGUUGGAAUUAUUUAACAGACUUAUGUAAUUUCCUGAGUCUGUUUUCUUUUCCAUGUUUCAAUUGUGUGAUGGGAAAGUGAGUCAUUUUUCUAAGGACUAAAAUACAAUAUAAGAAUAAACUUUAUAAACCCAAAGAGUUUGAAGACAAGAAUAUCUGACCAAAAAUAGACACAUUUCCCCUUCAUUGUUGUCAUCUGCAAACACCCAAGACAUUUUUCUACUUAUGAGGUUCUUGAGUCUUGGUUCACACUAUUUCUUUCUAUCCCUUUUCCUCCAUGAGAUCCAUAUCCAUAUGGAAAAUUUGCCCAUAAUUCUGGUCUCCAAAUUUGUGUAGCCCAUCAACAAAAUUAUACUUUAUUUUCCACCUUUAUCCCCCAAUCUCAUAGACAAACUUUUCAACCUGUCAGUAUAAUAAAUAGCAUAAUUUCUGAAAUAUCUAAUUCAAGUAUCCUGUGAUUUGAAACACCCUCCUAUAUUUCUUGUUCACUUAAGUGGUAACACUUUCAAAAUCUCUAUCAUUCCAAGACACUAAAAGUUUUAAAAGAAAAUGGUGCUUUCAUAGAUUUGGUGCUAAAACUCACUUUGUGGUAAAACCUGACAUGAUUGACUUCAUUCAUCACGUUUUUAUGGUCAUUAUUUUUCUUAUUUGAUGUGACUAUGCAUUUGUUCAGAGCAGAAAAAGAAUCAUAUUUAAUUAGCAGGUUCUUCUCCAAUCCUUCUUGGAGAUGUUCCAUAAAAAACUUAAUUAUUUAAGUCUAAAUCAUGCUGAAUUAUGAAACAAAUUUGGUUCCAAGGAUUUCAGACAAGUGAUUGUAUACCAGGAAUACAAUAUUUAUUUGAACUCGCCAAGACUUAAAAUCCUGCGUUCAGCUACUUUUUAUCUUAUUAUCACCAUACAUCAUCUUUCAUGCCUCCUGUUUAGAAUAACAAGUCCAUCAUUACAAGAAAAAGUUGCAAACACAAGGAAUGUUUUCUUCUCUUAUUAACAAAACAAAACAGAUAACUUGUCUGUGUUUUUCCUGGGUGCAUCUCUGCAGUUGAAAUAUCAUGACCACCAGUCCUCUUUAAAUUCAUCUCAAGAGAGGAAACCACAGACACUCAGCUUGCCUUCUAGCAAUGGUAAAUUCCUUAAGCUAAGUGUUUCCUAAUUGCUUUAUUCUCCUUUGAACUCACUCAGUUUCUCUCCUGUUGCUCAUGAUGGAUAAUCAGAUGUGCUUACCUCCACCGAUUUAUUAUCCAGCCAAUUGAAAGGCUCAAAUAGAAAAUGUCAUGCUUCUCCCCGACCAAACCAUGAAUUUUGUCUUCAGUUCCUCACUCUCAUUCAAUUUCAAUUUUUUAACAAUGCAUAAUAACCUGAAAUUCUCCUACUUACUUGUUAAUUUGACUGUUGUCUGUCUUCAUUACAGCUGGAUUAGAAACUACAAUAAAGAAAAAAAAAAAAAAAGUUUCAGCCUUAUUCCUUCUGAAGUUUCCAGGUCUAGAAUAGUUCUUGUAACAGAGUAGGUGCUUAAUUUAAUAAUAUAAUUUAACCUUAAAAUCCUGUUUUAUUACAAUCUACUUAAAGUGGACUCCUAGUUGUGGGUGAAUGAGUCUAAUUUAAAAUAAAGAGAUAAAGUUUCUUUUUUUUUUUCUGUGCCAACAAUCUUAAAAUACAAAUUUAAAACUGUGCCUUCAGUUUUGCUUCUCCUUAAAUACAAAAUUGGCGCUUGAUAAAAUAAGUUAUAUUUACUUUUCUUGGAAGCAUUUCCGUUUGAAUUAUGUUGAAUUACCUGAAUCAACAGAGCAUUUUCAAGAUAUAAAAAUUUUAAAAAAUUAGAUGUAUUUCUCAUUGCCAGAUUAAAAUUCUCUUUAUUACUUUAACACUUUAUGAGCUUGUCAGGUAUAGAAUUUGGUUCUAUCUGAUCUGAAAGUUAAUUACUGUUUAUGUGAGAAAGUUGAUUCACCUAAUAUUUCUUUGCACAAAUUUGCUAGUUUUAGAUUCGAGACUUCAAGUGUAAAAAUAAAGUCGUUAAGUACAUUAAGGACAAUAUGUUUUUCAAGGGUCCUUCCAGAUGCUUGUUUUUGUGAUUAUAUUCGUUAAAGAAGAAAGGAAAGAAACAAGAGAAGAAGAAAAAAAUGAGAAGAAAGAGGAGAAAGAAAAGAAGAGUGAGCAGGAGGAAAGACGAAGUAGGUGCUAGAGAAACUAAAGGUGCAUAGUCUCCAGCAUUAGCUUGUGUACUGUAACACCACAAUCAUGAAGUUUUAUCUCAUAGCCUCUUUAUAUACUGCUGUUGGAAUAUAUGAGCCUUUAAACACAUUUUAGAAGGUUUUGUUAGCUCCCUAGAUGCUGAAUUAAGGGCCGGCACAAUUUUGCAUUGCAUAAAACUGCCACCCAGGGCUCCAGAUCCUUCUUUUAGUGUCCUUUUCCUCAGUCAGUGUCUCACAUUUCCUGCUUAUUCCCUCUCUCCCAGUACUUGACUGUGCUUAUUACUGAUUCACACUUUAGAUUCAAAGUGGUUUUUUUUCCCAUUCUCUUAACAAAACUGUGCUUUUCUCAAUAACUGUAAGCCUUAUACUAAGAUAAAGCCUCGGAGUAAAGUUGUUCUAAUUUCUUUGACCAAGCCUGGGGAAAUGGAAGGAGAAAAUAGAAAAUUCAAAAGUUGCUCCCCCCCACCGCCCGAUAUAACCAGUUUCUUGACCAAAAAAAUAGCAAGGUUGGGAAUUCAUAUUUUUGCAUAAGAAGCUAUCAUGCAAUCAGGGAUCAUAUAGAAAGUAAGCCGUUACAACACAGAAUCGUAUCUAUUUCUUGGAACAAGAAAUAGAAGAAACUGUAAAAGGGCACUGCAGAUGGUCCCUUGUCAAUUUCUAGCUACCAACAACCACGGCAGCAAUUAUAACAUUUAAAAUAGUGAUUCCUUAUAAUUUACUCUAUCAUAGUAGUCUCCCCUGGAAGCAC
rnacentral:lncRNA from 1 species